GUAAACCCAAGGUUUCCAGGGGAAGGUUCGUCCGCCCUGGGUUAGUCGGGACCUAAGCUGAGGCCGAAAGGCGUAGGUGAUGGACAACAGGUUGAUAUUCCUGUACUACCGAUAACCGUUUGAGAGAAGGGAUGACACAGUAGGAUAAGCUAAGCACACUGUUGGUUAUGUGUGCCCAAGCAUUGAGGCAGUCAAAGUAGGCAAAUCCGCUUUGAUAAUGCUGGGAUGUGAUGGGGAGCGAAAUUUAGUAGCGAA
rnacentral:rRNA from 1 species